UUUAACAUAUGAUAGUAUAUUUCUAAAUUUUAUUAAGGGGAUGUGAUAUUCUAACAUUCUAAGAACUAUCUAGUAUGUUUUUUUUAACAAAGUACAAGGGUGAUGUGAUAUUCUAAACAUAUAAUACCGGUAGCAUACCAUAUAUUUCUUAGUUUCUUUAAGGCAAUGUGAUAUUCUAAGGUUCUAAGCAUCAAAUACAAAUAAUUUUUAUAAGAUUAAUGAACAAUAUACAUGGGGGAUGUGACAUUCAAAAUAUUUGUUUCUUAUAGUGUGCAAUAUAUUUCCUAAUUAUAAUAAGGAAAUGUCAUAUUCUAAGUUUUUAAACUAAAAGUACAACUAAUUAGUAUGAUAUUUAUAAACAAAGUACACGGGGGAUGUGAUAUUGUAAACAUACAGUGAUAGUUAGUGAUAUAUUUCUUAAUUAAUUUGCUGGAUGUGAUAUUUUAAGGUUCAUAGCAGAAAAUACAACUAAUUUUUAUGACAUAUAUAAACAAUAUACAUGGGGGGGGGGGGUGAUAUUUUAAGUAAUAUAAAACUGUUAGUUGACAAUAGAUUUCUUAUUUACAUCUAAGAUUCAAAGCAGCAAAUAAGACUAACUAUGAAAUUUUUUAACAAUAUACAUUGGAAUUUUGAUAUUUUAUAUAUAUAACAUGUAUAAUACUGGUAGUACAUAGGGGGUAUGACAUUCUAAACAUAUUGGUAGUUUGCGGUAUAAUUCUUAGUUACACUAAGGGAGUGUAAUAUUCUAAGCAGCAAAUUUGACUAACUAUGACAUUUAUAAACAAUAUACAUAGGGGAUGUGUGUCUAAACAUAAUACUAUAAUAUGCGUUAUAUUUCUUAAUUUUAUUACGAGAGGAGAUUUAUUAGGAUAGUAUUCUAAGAUGCUACUCUAAGAGAUUUAUUAUAAUAAUAUUCUUUUUUUAGGUUUCAUCUUGUUGUCCCUGGCCACUAGCAUUAUGUUUUGUUGCAUUUUAUCAGACUUGUAUGGUCACUACUUUUGAAGCCUUUCUGACUGAACAAUACCCAGCUGUUUGUCAUUGUUGUGAAACCGUAAUAAAUAAGUCUAUAUUAAAUAUUUUCGGCUUUUAUCAAAUAUUAAAUCAAACACACUUCGAGAUCUACAAAACAGAUUUUAUAACACAUCAAUUAAAUAUAAUUAGAAUAACUUAAGUUCAUUCAACCGUAUUCUAUAAUGACGUGAUUGGCGUCAAAUAGUUCUUAAGAAUAUAACAGUCAUCAAUGCCAUCUAUAUCAUGUGAUGUAACACUGACUGCUAUCACUUUUUAAAAAAACAGUUAGUUAAAGUCUUCUUCAAUCUGUUUCACUCAUUUAGUACGAAUCAGCAGUGAACUUAUACAGAAAUUAUCAAACAAGUUGGAAGACU